GAACAAGAGAAGAGCAAAUAAGCUUAGAUUGCAGCAAGGCAAAUCUGUGCUAGACUUUAAGGAGAACUUGGUGAUGGUGAUGCUGGUAAUGCAUGGGAAUAGACCACUUGGGAUGACUUUGAUGUCUGUGACCCAAAUGAGUGCACAACUGUGACAUUAACAACAUACGACAAGCAAUUUCACAUGCCUAGUUAGGCCUUUAUACCACAUUCAUCACUUACUAGUAAGAUGAAGUUCCCAAACAUCCAGUCAGAACAUGAUUCUGAAGGAGUACAACUAUUCAAGAAGUCAUAGGAUUGUCCACCUUGAAAACAGCAAACCGUACUAUACCAUGUUGUUGGGACCAGUAGAUAUCUUACUUUUAUCUUUCUCAAUGUACUGGCUGGCCACAAGCAGCAGAUGGUUCUCAAGCUCCUUUAGGUCCUCCAGUGCCACAUCAUAUAUGAUGUAAGCCCCACGCUGGUCCUGUGUGUGGAUAUAUCCAUCUUCAUGAGUGUGAAAGUCAUCAUGGUUUUCCACCUCUGCAAACUCCAUGAACUGAGUGCUGUGGACCUACAAGUGAAAAAAAUUCCAGAGAAACAGAGAUAGAAGCAGUCAGCUCUACAGUGACUGCAAUUUGGUAUAAUCAGUCAAUCUAGGAGUGGAUCAGGCCUGGUAACGUGGUAUUUUGUCAUUAUCAAAGAACAAUAAAAUAAAAUAUUGUCAAAAUAUACUUUUUUUUUUUCA